GGAGGUAUGGCUCAGGGAUUGAGCACCUGCCUAGCAAGUGUGAGGCCCUGAGUUCAAACCCCGGUAGCUCCA
rnacentral:tRNA from 1 species